rnacentral:rRNA from 1 species
UACGUAGGUGGCUAGCGUUGUCCGGAUUUACUGGGCGUAAAGAGCGCGCAGGCGGUCGUUCAAGUCGAGUGUGAAAGCCCCCGGCUCAACUGGGGAGGGUCACUCGAUACUGAUCGACUCGAAGGCAGAAGAGGGAAGCGGAAUUCCCGGGUGUAGUGGUGAAAUGCGUAGAAUAUCGGGAGGAACACCGGUGGCGAAGGGCGGCA